GCAUGCAAGUCGAGCGACGCAUACUGGCGGGGUAACCCACCAGUAUGACGGAGCGGCGAACGGGUGAGUAACACGUGAGCAACCUGCCCCGAAGACUGGGAUAACCCAGGGAAACCUGGACUAAUACCGGAUACUCUCGGAUCUCCGCAUGGAGGACCGAGGAAAGGCUUUAGCGCUUCGGGAUGGGCUCGCGGCCUAUCAGCUUGUUGGUGGGGUAACGGCCCACCAAGGCUUCGACGGGUAGCUGGUCUGAGAGGACGAUCAGCCACACUGGGACUGAGAUACGGACCAGACUCCUACGGGAGGCAGCAGUAGGGAAUAUUGGUCAAUGGGCGAGAGCCUGAACCAGCCAUGCCGCGUGCAGGAAGACGGCCUUCUGGGUUGUAAACUGCUUUUACCAGGGGAUAAAAGGCCCAUGCGUGGGACAUUGAAGGUACCUGGUGAAUAAGCCACGGCUAACUAC
rnacentral:rRNA from 1 species